GCAGCACAUCACCAGGAGCUCCUUCCUCCUGUAGUAUAGUGUGGGAGGCGGAGCUUGUGUGUGUCAGGCUCAGGACCCGAGUGAGGAGAGAGUGUCCGGACUCUGGAGGAAAGGGGAGGGUCGGCCACUGCACUGCCUGCACGGCUCUGUACUGCGCUGCCUGCUGAUCUCACUAAACAGGGAAUAUUACAUCAUCUAAUUUCAACCUAAUUGUUAUUUUCUGUUACGAUGAAGUCUAUUUAGAUACCUUAUCAAUUGAAACGAACGUGUGAUUGGAUGUAACAUUGAGAAUUGAAACCAGUUUUAACCAGUGAUAAUCCAUUCUGUUAUAAGAACUGAUUGUAAACCCCUGAUGAAGUCCUAAUGGACGAAACGCGUUGGGUUUCGCGAUAUUGGGUUAAUAAAGCCUUUACUACAAGCAUCUGGUUGGAGACACAUCUCUUUCAAGUUCUGACUGUGAUCACCUGACUGUAAAUUCCUCACAUCAACUGAAAAAUGU